UACGGAGGAUCCAAGCGUUAUCCGGAAUCAUUGGGUUUAAAGGGUCCGUAGGUGGGCCGUUAAGUCAGAGGUGAAAUCCUGCAGCUCAACUGUAGAAUUGCCUUUGAUACUGGCGGUCUUGAAUUACUGUGAAGUGGUUAGAAUAUGUGGUGUAGCGGUGAAAUGCAUAGAUAUCACAUAGAAUACCGAUUGCGAAGGCA
rnacentral:rRNA from 1 species